CCAUGGCGGGCGUGCUACACAUGCAGUCGAACGAUGAUGCCCAGCUUGCUGGGUGGAUUAGUGGCGAACGGGUGAGUAACACGUGAGUAACCUGCCCCUGACUCUGGGAUAAGCGUUGGAAACGACGUCUAAUACUGGAUAUGAUCACUGGCCGCAUGGUCUGGUGGUGGAAAGAUUUUUUGGUUGGGGAUGGACUCGCGGCCUAUCAGCUUGUUGGUGAGGUAAUGGCUCACCAAGGCGACGACGGGUAGCCGGCCUGAGAGGGUGACCGGCCACACUGGGACUGAGACACGGCCCAGACUCCUACGGGAGGCAGCAGUGGGGAAUAUUGCACAAUGGGCGAAAGCCUGAUGCAGCAACGCCGCGUGAGGGAUGACGGCCUUCGGGUUGUAAACCUCUUUUAGUAGGGAAGAAGCGAAAGUGACGGUACCUGCAGAAAAAGCACCGGCUAACUACGUGCCAGCAGCCGCGGUAAUACGUAGGGUGCAAGCGUUGUCCGGAAUUAUUGGGCGUAAAGAGCUCGUAGGCGGUUUGUCGCGUCUGCUGUGAAAUCCCGAGGCUCAACCUCGGGCUUGCAGUGGGUACGGGCAGACUAGAGUGCGGUAGGGGAGAUUGGAAUUCCUGGUGUAGCGGUGGAAUGCGCAGAUAUCAGGAGGAACACCGAUGGCGAAGGCAGAUCUCUGGGCCGUAACUGACGCUGAGGAGCGAAAGCAUGGGGAGCGAACAGGAUUAGAUACCCUGGUAGUCCAUGCCGUAAACGUUGGGCGCUAGAUGUAGGGACCUUUCCACGGUUUCUGUGUCGUAGCUAACGCAUUAAGCGCCCCGCCUGGGGAGUACGGCCGCAAGGCUAAAACUCAAAGGAAUUGACGGGGGCCCGCACAAGCGGCGGAGCAUGCGGAUUAAUUCGAUGCAACGCGAAGAACCUUACCAAGGCUUGACAUACACCGGAAACGGCCAGAGAUGGUCGCCCCCUUGUGGUCGGUGUACAGGUGGUGCAUGGUUGUCGUCAGCUCGUGUCGUGAGAUGUUGGGUUAAGUCCCGCAACGAGCGCAACCCUCGUUCUAUGUUGCCAGCGGGUUAUGCCGGGGACUCAUAGGAGACUGCCGGGGUCAACUCGGAGGAAGGUGGGGAUGACGUCAAAUCAUCAUGCCCCUUAUGUCUUGGGCUUCACGCAUGCUACAAUGGCCGGUACAAAGGGCUGCGAUACCGUAAGGUGGAGCGAAUCCCAAAAAGCCGGUCUCAGUUCGGAUUGAGGUCUGCAACUCGACCUCAUGAAGUCGGAGUCGCUAGUAAUCGCAGAUCAGCAACGCUGCGGUGAAUACGUUCCCGGGCCUUGUACACACCGCCCGUCAAGUCAUGAAAGUCGGUAACACCCGAAGCCGGUGGCCUAACCCUUGUGGAAGGAGCCGUCGAAGGGGAUUCAUU
rnacentral:rRNA from 1 species